rnacentral:rRNA from 1 species
AUUGAACGCUAGCGGGAUGCUUUACACAUGCAAGUCGAACGGUAGCGCGGACUUCGGUCUGGCGGCGAGUGGCGAACGGGUGAGUAAUGUAUCGGAACGUGCCCAGUAGCGGGGGAUAACUACGCGAAAGCGUAGCUAAUACCGCAUACGCCCUACGGGGGAAAGCAGGGGAUCGUAAGACCUUGCACUAUUGGAGCGGCCGAUAUCGGAUUAGCUAGUUGGUGAGGUAACGGCUCACCAAGGCGACGAUCCGUAGCUGGUUUGAGAGGACGACCAGCCACACUGGGACUGAGACACGGCCCAGACUCCUACGGGAGGCAGCAGUGGGGAAUUUUGGACAAUGGGGGCAACCCUGAUCCAGCCAUCCCGCGUGUGCGAUGAAGGCCUUCGGGUUGUAAAGCACUUUUGGCAGGAAAGAAACGUCGCGGGCUAAUACCCCGUGGAACUGACGGUACCUGCAGAAUAAGCACCGGCUAACUACGUG